rnacentral:rRNA from 1 species
GACAGAGGGGGCAAGCGUUGCUCGGAAUUACUGGGCGUAAAGCGCGUGUAGGCGGCCCUGCAAGUCGGAUGUGAAAUCCCACGGCUGCAACUGGGGAGGGUCACGCGAUACUGAUCGACUCGAAGGCAGGAGAGGGUAGUGGAAUUCCCGGUGUAGCGGUGGAAUGCGCAGAGUAAUCAGGAGGAACACCGGUGGCGGAAGGCGGGUCUCUGGGCAGUAACUGACGCUGAGGAGCGAAAGCGUGGGGAGCGAACAGG